rnacentral:rRNA from 1 species
UGAGUACGAGCUGCUACGGCAGCGAAGUGGGUGACGUCAAGCUUCCAAGAAAAGCCCUAUACCCGUUAAGGCAUGACUGCCUGUACCCGAAACCGACACAGGUGGGGUGGUAGAGAAUACCGAGGGGCGCGAGGUAACUCUCUCUAAGGAACUCGGCAAAAUGGCCCCGUAACUUCGGGAGAAGGGGUGCCACCGCAAGGUGGUCGCAGUGAAGAGGCCCAGGCGACUGUUUACCAAAAACACAGGUCUCCGCUAAGUCGCAAGACGAUGUAUGGGGGCUGACGCCUGCCCAGUGCCGGAAGGUUAAGGAAGCUGGUCAGCGCAAGCGAAGCUAGCGACUGAAGCCCCGGUGAACGGCGGCCGUAACUAUAACGGUCCUAAGGUAGCGAAAUUCCUUGUCGGGUAAGUUCCGACCCGCACGAAAGGCGUAACGAUCUGGGCGCUGUCUCGGAGAGAGGCUCGGCGAAAUAGAAUUGUCUGUGAAGAUCCGGACUACGUGCACCCGGACAGAAAGACCCUAUGAAGCUUUACUGUAGCUUGGUAUUGUGCCCGGGCUCUGAAUGCGCAGGAUAGGUGGGAGGCUUUGAUCCAUUGCUUGCGGGUGAUGGUGAGCCAACGGUGAGAUACCACUCUUUCAGAGCUAGGGUUCUAACGGUCACCCGUUAUCCGGGGACCGGACAGUAUCAGGUGGGCAGUUUGACUGGGGCGGUCGCCUCCUAAAUGGUAACGGAGGCGCGCAAAGGUUCCCUCAGGCUGGUUGGAAAUCAGCCGACGAGUGUAAAGGCAGAAGGGAGCUUGACUGUGAGACCAACAAGUCGAACAAGGACGAAAGUCGGCCUUAGUGAUCCGACGGUUCUGAGUGGAAGGGCCGUCGCUCAACGGAUAAAAGUUACUCUAAGGAUAACAGGCUGAUCUCCCCCAAGAGUUCACAUCGACGGGGAGGUUUGGCACCUCGAUGUCGGCUCAUCGCAACCUGGGGCUGAAGUCGGUCCCAAGGGUUGGGCUGUUCGCCCAUUAAAGCGGUACGCGAGCUGGGUUCAGAACGUCGUGAGACAGUUCGGUCCAUAUCCGGUGCAUGCGCAGGAACAUUGAGAGGAUUUCUCCCUAGUACGAGAGGACCGGGAGGAACGCACCUCUGGUGUACCAGUUAUCGUGCCAACGGUAAACGCUGGGUAGCCAUGAGCGGAGCGGAUAACCGCUGAAAGCAUCUAAGUGGGAAGCCCACCUCAAGAUGAGUGUUCCCAUGGCACAAGCCAGUAAGGUCACGGGAAGAACACCCGUUGAUAGGCUCUACGUGGAAGCGCAGUAAUGCGUGAAGCGGAGGAGUACUAAUAGACCGAGGGCUUGAC